rnacentral:rRNA from 1 species
CAUGGAGUUUGAUCCUGGCUCAGAUUGAACGCUGGCGGCAUGCUUUACACAUGCAAGUCGAACGGCAGCGGGGGCAUCGGCCUGCCGGCGAGUGGCGAACGGGUGAGUAAUGCAUCGGAACGUGCCCAUGUCGUGGGGGAUAACGUAUCGAAAGGUACGCUAAUACCGCAUACGCCCUGAGGGGGAAAGCGGGGGAUUCUUCGGAACCUCGCGCGAUUGGAGCGGCCGAUGUCGGAUUAGCUAGUAGGUGAGGUAAAGGCUCACCUAGGCGACGAUCCGUAGCGGGUCUGAGAGGAUGAUCCGCCACACUGGGGACUGAGACACGGGCCAGACUCCUACGGGAGCAGCAGUAGGGAAUAUGGUCAAUGGACGCAAGUCUGAACCCAGCCAUGCCGCGU